UUCUCAUUAGUAUUCUGUACUACUUUCUUUAUCUUUUCGUCACAAUCUUUCACUAUGACCUCAACCUUAUGCACUGGUGUCAACCAGGAAGAAUGCAUUGCUGAUGAGGUCAUGUAUGUACAGUCUGCCAGAGGUAGUUGUUUAUUGUGUGAAUAUUGAUGUUGCUGCAGGUGCCCUGUUGAAUACCCAUGAGACGAUGCACCUAACUCAUCUCGUGAUGGAAGUUUUGAUGUAGGACUCAUGGUGGGUGACACUUCUGAGCCACAUCUCCAUGAUGGGCAUGGUACCAACACAGCAGGUAUACAGGGCGUGGCUGCAGACUGUGUGGGACAUCUGUAGUUGCAGCACCAGAAUUGGGUGAGGCAGAGAGGGGGCCUGGGUGAGGAGGCAUGGAGGGGGUGGCUGGUUUACUGCCAGGGCCACCCCGUAGCUCCUCAGCUGAGGCUGUUGACUGGAGUGACCUCGCAUGGCCUUGCUCAAAAGUACAUGAUGGGAUGUGUGCGGUAUUUGCCAACUGUCAGCGCAGAACACGGCAUUGUGAGCACAACAUAAGGAUGGAGUGACUGAGGCAACUUGCUGCUGUUGUGACAAUCUAGAAAUUGUACUGAAGAUAUUGUCAGUGAUUAUUCAGUAAACAAUUCCAUCUGAGCAAGUUAUAAUAUGGAGCAUGAACAAAAAUAAAACAGUGUUUGCAGUAA